rnacentral:rRNA from 1 species
UACGUAGGGUGCAAGCGUUGUUCGGAAUCAUUGGGCGUAAAGGGCGUGUAGGUGGCUUGUUAAGUCAAGUGUGAAAUCCCUGGGCUCAACCCAGGAAGUGCAUUUGAAACUAGCUAGCUAGAGGACGGCAGAGGAAGGUGGAAUUCCAAGUGUAGAGGUGAAAUUCGUAGAUAUUUGGAGGAAUACCGGCGGCGAAGGCGGCCUUCUGGACCGAUCCUGACACUGAGACGCGAAAGCGUGGGGAGCAAACAGG